AACGAACGCUGGCGGCAUGCCUAACACAUGCAAGUCGAACGGGAUCCUAGCUUGCUAGGUGAGAGUGGCGGACGGGUGAGUAACACGUGGGAAUCUGCCUUUUGGUUCGGGAUAACCGCGGGAAACUGCGGCUAAUACCGAAUGCCCUCGCGAGAGGAAAGAUUUAUCGCCAGAAGAGGAGCCCGCGUCCGAUUAGGUAGUUGGUGGGGUAAAGGCCUACCAAGCCGACGAUCGGUAGCUGGUCUGAGAGGAUGAUCAGCCACACUGGGACUGAGAUACGGCCCAGACUCCUACGGGAGGAAGCAGUGGGGAAUAUUGGACAAUGGGGGCAACCCUGAUCCAGCAAUGCCGCGUGAGUGAUGAAGGCCUUAGGGUUGUAAAGCUCUUUUGCCAGGGAAGAUGAUGACUGUACCUGGAGAAUAAGCCCCGGCUAACUUCGUGCCAGCCGCCGCAGUAAUAC
rnacentral:rRNA from 1 species